AGCAGUAGCCACGGUAAUACGGAGGAUCCAAGCGUUAUCCGGAAUCAUUGGGUUUAAAGGGUCCGUAGGCGGUCUUGUAAGUCAGUGGUGAAAGCCCAUCGCUCAACGGUGGAACGGCCAUUGAUACUGCAGGACUUGAAUUAUUGGGAAGUAACUAGAAUAUGUAGUGUAGCGGUGAAAUGCUUAGAGAUUACAUGGAAUACCAAUUGCGAAGGCAGGUUACUACCAAUUGAUUGACGCUGAUGGACGAAAGCGUGGGUAGCGAACAGGAUUAGAUACCCCUGUAGUCCCUGUCUCUUAUAC
rnacentral:rRNA from 1 species